AUAAGUGGCGUGCGAUGAUGAUGGGGAAGGCGGAGGAUAGAAGCGUUAUCCGGAGAGAUUGAGUGACAAGGGGCCGUAGGCGGGCUUAGAAGUAAGUGGUGAAAGCCGAUCGUUAAAAGAUGGAACUGCCAUUGAUACUGUAAGACUUGAAUGCUUAGGAAGGAACUAGAAUAUGUAGUGUAGCGGUGAAAUGCUUAGAUAUUACAUGGAAUACCAAUGGCGAAGGCAGGUUACUACUAAGUGAUUGACGCUGAUGGACGAAAGCGUGGGGAGCGAACAGGAUUAGAUACCCGAGUAGUC
rnacentral:rRNA from 1 species